CCACAUAUCACAGGCAUAGAAAGUAUUUUUUUGCAUCAGAAAGACACGGACAGACAGGUUAAUUUCUCAACAACAUCAGAAAUGAAAGAAAGACAAAGAAAAGGCAUAGCCAUUAGUCUCUACCUCCAUUGCCAUGGGCAGGAGCCCAUGUUAAAGACCAUAAUCUGAGAUGCGCAGGACAGAAGCCUGCCAACUGCAAAUAUGAGCACCCCUGUAAUAAUUUGUAAAAAAUAGAGAGAGAGAUCUGAAGUGUUAAUGCAGGCAGUUCAUCAUAAUGUGUUACGAUUCUGAAGUCAUUCAUUUGUUUGAAAUAUUUAAAUCGGUCAGAUUUUUUGUAAAGAACACUUUUAUCACUACAUUCGUAAACUGUGAGCAUAAUGGAAGGGUUUAGGGAUGACUAAACCAGCAUGCAACGUGUGAAAACAUGGCGGAAGGCAGUGACAGCGCCGGGAGAUUUUUCAGCCUUCUAAGAGGACCAAAUCUGAAGCGUGGUCGUAUUUUUAGUUUUACAAGAGUGCUGAGGGAAACUUAAUCGAAGAUGGUCACCCUGUCUGCAGAACAUGCAAAAAAGUCGCUGCGAAAGGGGGCAACACUCCAAAUCUCUUGAGUCAUCUUCGUGAUCACCACUCACUACUUUAUAGCCAAUACAAGAGUGGGCGAGCAGCAGGCAAACCCUGUGAUGCUACUGGUCCCUCCUCAUCUACAGUUGUGACACAGACACUCGAGCAAGCAUUUAAAAGGCAGGCUGCUUAUGCACCCACAUCAAAACAUGCUCAAGACCUCAUUGCAAAGGACAUGAUGCCAUUUCAAUUUGUUGAGAGGCCUGGCUUUCAGAGGCUGAUGAAGGUUGGCGUGCCUCACUACAAAGUGAGUGCUGCUAAUUUUAUUUGUUUGUUUAUUUGCUUACUUAAGGUUGUGUAUAUUUAAAUCUGCACUAGGGAAACUUCAACCUCUCAUGGCCACAUGGUGCCAUCUUUAAUGUUAUUAUUUUAAUGUUUAUGCACAUAAAAAAUUCAUAGUGCUGCAA